AGAGUUUGAUCAUGGCUCAGAACGAACGCUGGCGGCAUGCCUAACACAUGCAAGUCGAACGCUUUGCCGGUUUCGGCCGGCAAGGAGUGGCGCACGGGUGAGUAACGCGUGGGAACCUGCCCUGUUGUGGGGGAUAACCGAGGGAAACUUCGGCUAAUACCGCAUACGCCCCGGUGAUGAGCCGGGGGAAAGAUUUAUUCGCAGCAGGAGGGGCCCGCGUCGGAUUAGCUGGUUGGUGGGGUAACGGCCUACCAAGGCACCGAUCCGUAGCUGGUCUGAGAGGAUGAUCAGCCACACUGGGACUGAGACACGGCCCAGACUCCUACGGGAGGCAGCAGUGGGGAAUAUUGGACAAUGGGGGCAACCCUGAUCCAGCAAUGCCGCGUGAGUGAUGAAGGCCUUCGGGUUGUAAAGCUCUUUCGCCCGCGACGAUGAUGACGGUAGCGGGAGAAGAAGCCCCGGCUAACUUCGUGCCAGCAGCCGCGGUAAUACGAAGGGGGCGAGCGUUGUUCGGAAUCACUGGGCGUAAAGGGCGCGUAGGCGGCCGGCUUAGUCGCGUGUGAAAGCCCCGGGCUCAACCUGGGAACGGCGCGCGAAACGGGCCGGCUGGAGUUCGGGAGAGGAGCGUGGAAUUCCCAGUGUAGAGGUGAAAUUCGUAGAUAUUGGGAAGAACACCGGUGGCGAAGGCGGCGCUCUGGACCGAGACUGACGCUGAGGCGCGAAAGCGUGGGGAGCAAACAGGAUUAGAUACCCCAGUAGUCC
rnacentral:rRNA from 1 species